GACGAACGCUGGCGGCGUGCCUAACACAUGCAAGUUGAGCGACGAACCAGGGCUUGCCCUGGGGCAAAGCAGCGAACGGGUGAGUAACACGUGGAUAACGUACCCCGAUAACCGGGACAACCCGAGGAAACUCGAGCUAAUACCGGAUGUGCUUGCUUCACAUCAGUGAAGUACGUAAAGGAAGCUUCGGCCUCCGUAUCGGGAGCGGUCCGCGGCCCAUUAGCUAGUUGGUGAGGUAACGGCUCACCAAGGCAACGAUGGGUAGCUGGUCUGAGAGGACGAUCAGCCACACUGGGACUGAGACACGGCCCAGACUCCUACGGGAGGCAGCAGUGGGGAAUCUUGCGAAUGCGCGAAAGCGUGACGCAGCAACGCCGCGUGGGGGAAGAAGGUUUUCGGAUUGUAAACCCCUUUCAGGAAGGACGAAGGUUCGGCAGUGAAUAGCUGACCGGACUGACGGUACUUCCACAAGAAGGUCCGGCUAACUACGUGCCAGCAGCCGCCGUAAAAC
rnacentral:rRNA from 1 species